rnacentral:rRNA from 1 species
GACGAACGCUGGCGGCGUGCUUAACACAUGCAAGUCGAACGAUGAAGCCGGAGCUUGCUCUGGUGAAUUAGUGGCGAACGGGUGAGUAACACGUGAGUAACCUGCCCUUGACUCUGGGAUAACUGCGGGAAACUGUAGCUAAUACCGGAUACGACCCUCGGAGGCAUCUCCUGGGGGUGGAAAGAAUUUCGGUCAAGGAUGGACUCGCGGCCUAUCAGCUAGUUGGUGAGGUAAAGGCUCACCAAGGCGACGACGGGUAGCCGGCCUGAGAGGGUGACCGGCCACACUGGGACUGAGACACGGCCCAGACUCCUACGGGAGGCAGCAGUGGGGAAUAUUGCACAAUGGGCGCAAGCCUGAUGCAGCAACGCCGCGUGAGGGAUGACGGCCUUCGGGUUGUAAACCUCUUUCAGCUAUGACGAAGCGCAAGUGACGGUAGUAGCAGAAGAAGGACCGGCCAACUACGUGCCAGCAGCCGCAGUAA